CCCGGAACAGUGGCGGACGGGUGAGUAACGCGUGGGUAACCUGCCUUACACAGGGGGAUAACACUUAGAAAUAGGUGCUAAAACCGCAUAAGCGCACAGCUUCGCAUGAAGCGGUGUGAAAAACUCCGGUGGUGUAAGAUGGACCCGCGUCUGAUUAGCUUGUUGGCGGGGUAACGGCCCACCAAGGCGACGAUCAGUAGCCGGCCUGAGAGGGCGGACGGCCACAUUGGGACUGAGACACGGCCCAGACUCCUACGGAAGGCAGCAG
rnacentral:rRNA from 1 species